GAUGAAGAACGUAGCGAAAUGCGAUAAGUAAUGUGAAUUGCAGAAUUCAGUGAAUCAUCGAAUCUUUAAACGCACAUUGCGCCCCUUGGUAUUCCUUGGGGCAUGCCUGUUCAAGCGUCACUACAAACCCGCUCAUACAUAUUAUAUGGUAUUGAUGGAAGUGGACCGUGGUUACUAGUACUGUAUCUGGAUCACCCCAUUGAAAUGUAUAGGCAGGACAGUAAACCUCUGCAAUGGACUUAGUAACUGUUGUGAAAACAUAGACCAGUCCUUUGCCUGGUUCCAGCCUGGCAUCCAUGGACCUCUAUCCAAGAUAAACUCUGGGUUGACCUCGGAUCAGGUAGGGAUACCCGCUGAACUUGAGCAUAUCAAUAAGCGGAGGA
rnacentral:misc_RNA from 1 species